rnacentral:rRNA from 1 species
GACGAACGCUGGCGGCGUGCCUAAUACAUGCAAGUAGGACGCAGUUGCGAACGUGUGAGUAACGCGUAGGUACCUGCCUAUUAGAGGGGGAUAACUAUUGGAAACUAUAGCUAAUACCGCAUACUUGUAGAUGGACCUGCGUUGUAUUAGCUAGUAGGUUGGGUAAUGGCCUCCCUAGGCGACGAUACAUAGCCGAGCUGAGAGGGUGAUCGGCCACACUGGGACUGAGACACGGCCCAGACUCCGACGGGAGGCAGCAGUAGGGAAUCUUCGGCAAUGGGGGGAAGCCUGACGAAGCAACGCCGCGUGAGUGAAGAAGGUUUUCGGAUCGUAAAGCUCUGUUGUUAAGGAAGCGGUACUGAAACAGAAAGGGACGGCUAACUACGUGCCAGCAGCCGCGGUAAUUC